AUUAUAUUUGUUUUUGUAUCUUUAUGAAUAUUUAUCAAUCUAUCUAAAUGAAAUGAUAAAACAGUUUGCUUAAAAGUAGUGACCAUUAUACUUAGGAAAGAUGUUUAAAAUAUAUCCUAUUAAUAUUAGCGUUUAAAAUAUUUAGGUUAAUGGUGAAGGAAAUUGAACAAAAAUAUUAGAAGACAUAGUCUGGGCAUAACAUCUACCUACUACAUUAUCUUUUAACUCAUGUGGGCCCCAAACUAAGUGAUAGCAUUUAAAGGUCAAACCAGAAACCCAGAGCAUCCCAGGUAGUGCAUCUAGUCUGGCCUUGUGCUUUACUUCAAGCUUAAGAAGUCAGCCCAUUUGUGACCUCAUUAAGUAGAGGAAUUCAAAUGCAGUGGGGAAGGAGAAAAGCACAGAACUUUUCGUAAUUUAUAACUGUAGAUUUACUUGAAAAUGUUCUUUCAUCAGCUAGACACAGUUCAGGUGUUUUAUGACCCUGUAUUUUACUUCAUUAAACAACUCUGUAGCCAGGCAUGGUGGCGCACACCUGUAAUCCCAGUGGGCUUGGGAGGCUGAGGCAGGAGGAUUGCAAGUUCAAAGUUAGUCUCAGCAAAUUAGCAAGGACCUAGGCAAUUCAGUGAGACCCUGUCACUAAACAAAAUAUGACAAAAGAUCUGGGGAUGUGGCUUAGUGGUUAAGUGCCCUUGAGUUCAAUCCCCAGUACCAAAAAAAAAAAAACAAAACAAAACAAAACAAAAAAAAAACCCUUCAUAUGAAAACGCUGUUGUCUGUUUUACUAUUUAUUUAAUCAUUGAUUGAAUACAUGCUUAUUGUGUCUCUUAUGUGUGGGUACUGAUAGGUACUAAGUAUAAAAUAAACUAAAAUUUAUAAUUAUCUGGAAUAGGUAGGGCAUUAAAAACUCUAUAAUCACAGGCAUGUAAAGCAGGAAUGAAAAUGAUGCUCUUAGAGACUGAUGUGAGGACAUAAUUUAGGUGGGAGGUGGGGCAGCUAAGUGACAUUCAGGCCUAGAAAGAGUUUGGCAGCCAAAGAGUGCUUUGCUUAAUGUUAAUCUUCUUCUCAUGCUCUUCCUCCCUACUCUGUUCUUAGUUACUCUCCUUAUAUCAAAGAAGACAUUUGGCAUUUGUUUUUUAGGGAUUGGCUAGCUUCACUUAGCAUAAUCUGCUCUAAUGCCAUCCAUUUCCCUGCAAAUUCUAUGAUUUUGUCAUUUUUUAAUGCAGAGUAAUACUCCAUUGUGUAUAAAUGCCACAUUUUUUUUUAUCCAUUCGUCUAUUGAAGGGCAUCUAGGUUGGUUCCACAGUCUUGCUAUUGUGAAUUGUGCUGCUAUGAACAUUGAUGUAGCAGUGUCCCUGUAGCAUGCUCUUUUUAGGUCUUUAGGGAAUAGACCGAGAAGGGGAAUAGCUGGGUCAAAUGGUGGUUUCAUUCCCAGCUUUCCAAGAAAUCUCCAUACUGCUUUCCAAAUUGGCCGCACCAAUUUGCAGUCCCACCAGCAAUGUACAAGUGUACACUUUUCCCCACAUCCUCGCCAGCACUUGUUGUUGUUUGACUUCAUAAUGGCUGCCAAUCUUACUGGAGUGAGAUGGUAUCUUAGGGUGGUUUUGAUUUGCAUUUCUCUGACUGCUAGAGAUGGUGAGCAUUUUUUCAUGUACUUGUUGAUUGAUUGUAUGUCCUCCUCUGAGAAGUGUCUGUUCAGGUCCUUGGCCCAUUUGUUGAUUGGGUUGUUUGUUCUCUUAUUGUCUAAUUUUUUGAGUUCUUUGUAUACUCUGGAUAUUAGGGCUCUAUCUGAAG
rnacentral:lncRNA from 1 species